UACGAAGGGUGCAAACGUUGCUCGGAAUCAUUGGGCGUAAAGCGCACGUAGGCGGCCUCAAAAGUCGGAUGUGAAAUCCCGUGGCUCAACCAUGGACGUGCAUUCGAAACUGCGAGGCUUGAGUAUGGAAGAGGGUCGCGGAAUUCCCGGUGUAGAGGUGAAAUUCGUAGAUAUCGGGAGGAACACCAGUGGCGAAGGCGGCGACCUGGGCCAAUACUGACGCUGAGGUGCGAAAGCGUGGGGAGCAAACGGG
rnacentral:rRNA from 1 species